CACAGGGUUGAGGUCUCUGGGAAGGCAGGUGUGGUCUAGAAGAUGAGGCUGCUGGGUCUUGUCCUGUGCCUGGUCACAGCUCCCCAAGGUGUCCUGUGCCAGGUGCAGCUACAGGAGUCAGGACCUGGCCUGGUGAAGCCCUCACAGACCCUGUCCCUCACCUGUGCUGUCUCCGGUUACUUCAUCACCAGUGGUUACUGCUGGAACUGGAUCCGUCAGCCCCCAGGGAAGGGGCUGGAGUGGAUAGGGUACAUAUGUAGUAGUGGUAGCACUGGCUACAACCCAUCCCUCAAGAGCCGAGUGUCCAUCUCCAGAGACACGUCCAAGAACCAGUUCUCCCUGCAGCUGAGCUCCCUGACCACUGAGGACACGGCCACCUAUUACUGUGCCAGAUACACAGUGAGGGGACCUCAGUGUGAGCCCAGACACAAACCUCCUGCAGGGUGCCCAGGGCCAGCAGGGGGCGCUCUGCACACAGGAGCUCAGGUCAUCCCAGGGGCAGGUGCAGAGGGAGGAGAGAGCUGUCACCUGAGGCCCUGA